UAAACAUUUCCGCCAUUUUAUUUUACACGAGGCAGCUGUCGGUAAGCAACGGGUGAGCAACAGUCUGAGUGAAAACCUUCACAUUUCUACUUCGAUCUUAAGAAAGCCAUACAGGUUUGGAACCAAGUGAAAACGCAGUGAUGACCAGCUUUCCAUCAGCUACGGAAUGUGAAAUAAAAAAUGCUAUUUCUAAUCAUUUCAAACAAGCACCAGGGAGGGCAGGGGGUGGGGGUUAUGGAUCUAAAGUAAACAGUUAAUUCUUAAAAAUU